CACAGGAAUUCUCUCAAUUAUGAAACCUUGCAGAGAAGUUACUUUCUUUUUCAAAAUUCAGGUGGUGACAUUGCUUACUCCAGAUCAGACACUUUUUCAUCAUCACUGUCUUGUGAACCGUCAUCUGCUCCAUCUACCUUUGAUAUCAAUCCUCUAUCUGGAGAACAUGUGGGGUCUAGUAAGAGACAAGCCAGGUCUCCUUUACUGUGAGCCAACUGAUGCACUGGCUGAGAAUCAAGAACACCCCUCCCCAUCAACACUACCUCCACGAGCAACUGGCUGGUUCAGAGGACAGGCUGAGUUCACAGCAACUGAGAUAAAACAAAACAAAACAACUAAAUGCUUGUGUUGUUUGAUUGACUUUGCAGGCCUAAGGCUGAUAGUCUGAGCAUCUAUUGGGAGGAGGACAGUAUGCAAUAUAGCAAAUAUGGGGGAUUUCCUUCCGUUUUGUUUUUGAAAUUCACUGAUUUAUUUUUUGUUUUGUUUGUUUCAAUUUUUUGAGACAGAGCCUUGCUCUACAUUUCAGGGUGGCCUUGAACACACAAAGUAGCCAAGGAUAGUCUAGAACUCAUUCCAAUCCUUCUUCCUCAGACUCCCAAGUACUGGAAUUACAGGCAUGAGCCACCACGCUAGCAUCCAGUGAC
rnacentral:lncRNA from 1 species